UGUCGGCUCAUCACAUCCUGGGGCUGUAGUAGGUCCCAAGGGUUGGGCUGUUCGCCCAUUAAAGUGGUACGCGAGCUGGGUUCAGAACGUCGUGAGACAGUUCGGUCCCUAUCCGUCGCAGGCGUAGGAAAUUUGAGAAGACCUGUCCUUAGUACGAGAGGACCGGGAUGGACGUACCUCUGGUGUACCAGUUGUUCUGCCAAGGGCAUGGCUGGGUAGCUAUGUACGGAAUGGAUAAGCGCUGAAAGCAUCUAAGCGCGAAGCCAACUUCAAGAUAAGAUUUCCCACCGCAAGGGUAAGACCCCAGAAAGACUAUCUGGUUGAUAGGUCGAAGGUGUAAGUGCAGCAAUGUAUUUAGCUUAUCGAUACUAAUAGGUCGAGGACUUGACCAAU
rnacentral:rRNA from 1 species